AGUUAAAUGAAGGUGUUAUAAAUGAAUGCAUCAAUUAAUCUAAACACAUAGGCGUGGCCUAAAGGACAGAGCAGUUUAUAUGUUGACUGUUUCCAAUGUUUUGUUGGUCAUGCUAUAGAAUGAUUUAUUGCUUGUUUAGCGAAUACUCCAGAACAUAAGGAACUUUAAAAAUAAAAAUCGCAUACGAAAUUGCAAUCUCAAUAUUGAUCGAAAUAUCGCAAUAAGAUUGUUUCCCCAAAUCGUUCAGCCCUAAGUGACACUCAGGAAGUUCUGUAGUAGUAAAACACAAUGUGAACAUGUCAUGUUUCAGGAGUGGAAUAUACCGUUUAAAAUGUUUGUAAAAUGUUUCCUUCAUUGGAGCUGUGGAGGUUUUCCUUCUUUUGCUUUGGGCAAUGUCUGUGGAUCAAAAAAAACAAAAAGAGCAAGAACAAAACAAAUGUCAUGUUUGUUCCAGGUCCGAACAUUAUGUUGUUGAGCAUAACCACAGACUAGUUCACCUAUCUUACCCGUCCGACAUUCAGUACAAGCGCCACCAGACACAAGACAACGACCUUUGAGCAGACCGCUGUACAGAUGGCAACGACAAGUGAACCAUACGAAGAAUUAACAGAAGGGGGACAAGAUCUAAAGCGCACCUCGAUGUGAUACACGCAAAGUAAUCUUAUUUAAGAAAAUUGGAAAACUCAUAUGCUUGUAUAUAUUUAAAAAAAUACUAUUUUAGAUGUCAUUUUUCAAAACUUGAACAAGUACAUUUAAUCACACAAACCUUAUUCUAAUUUAAACUUUUACAAUGGAUGAUGUGAACGAUGUAUAUUUGAAUGUAGAAGUUGUUUCAAGUAAAGCAACCCUUAAAAAAAAA